rnacentral:rRNA from 1 species
GAUGAACGCUGGCGGCGUGCCUAAUACAUGCAAGUCGAGCGAACAGACGAGGAGCUUGCUCCUCUGACGUUAGCGGCGGACGGGUGAGUAACACGUGGAUAACCUACCUAUAAGACUGGGAUAACUUCGGGAAACCGGAGCUAAUACCGGAUAAUAUCUUGAACCGCAUGGUUCAAUAGUGAAAGACGGUUUUGCUGUCACUUAUAGAUGGAUCCGCGCCGCAUUAGCUAGUUGGUAAGGUAACGGCUUACCAAGGCGACGAUGCGUAGCCGACCUGAGAGGGUGAUCGGCCACACUGGAACUGAGACACGGUCCAGACUCCUACGGGAGGCAGCAGUAGGGAAUCUUCCGCAAUGGGCGAAAGCCUGACGGAGCAACGCCGCGUGAGUGAUGAAGGUCUUCGGAUCGUAAAACUCUGUUAUUAGGGAAGAACAAAUGUGUAAGUAACUAUGCACGUCUUGACGGUACCUAAUCAGAAAGCCACGGCUAACUACGUGCCAGCCGCCGCAGUAA